rnacentral:rRNA from 1 species
AACGAACGCUGGCGGCAGGCCUAACACAUGCAAGUCGAGCGCCCUUUCGGGGGAGCGGCGGUCGGGUGAGUAACGCGUGGGAAUAUGCCCUUCUCUACGGAAUAGCCUCGGGAAACUGAGAGUAAUACCGUAUACGCCCUGUGGGGGAAAGAUCUAUCGUGGAAGGAUUUGCCGGCGUUGGAUUUGGUAGUUGGUGGGGUAAUGCCCUACUAAGCCGACGAUCCAUAGCUGGUUUGAGAGAAUGUUCAGCCACACUGGAACUGGGACACAGCCCAGACUCCUACGGGAGGCAGCAGUGGGGAAUCUUAGACAGUGGGGGCAACCCUGAUCGAGCCAUGCCGCGUGAGUGAUGAAGGCAUUAGGGUUGUAAAGCUCUUUCAGCUGGGAAGAUAAUGACGGUACCUGCAGAAGAAGCCCCGGCUAACUCCGUG